AAUAUUAAAAAUUAGUUAAUUAAUAAAUUUUGAAUUUAUAAAUAUAUUUAUAAGGAUUAAUAUAUUAUUA
rnacentral:tRNA from 1 species